GUCAACUCUCUCUCAUAUACGUAUAUGAUGAGUCUGAGUUUGUUGUGAUAUGAAUUGCUAAAUCUGAAGUUCUUGUUUAAUUUUUUUUUUUAAAAUUUUGGUUUAUGGUAUAAGUCAAAUAAAACUUAAAUUCUGAAUUAGUAAUCAGAUAUUUUCUUAUUUCUAGUUUGUUAAAGGCUAAAAAAUUCGGGCAAAGUGAUUAUUACAAUAAUUAGUCAGUCAUUCAAGUCCCUAAACCAAUGUAAUUAUCAAGAGUGUUGAGGACUUUCAGAACUCUAUAAAAUAUGUUGGUUGUACGCAUUUGAUUUUAUUUCCUAGCACAAAUCUUAAUAACUUUAGCUACUCCUCUCACACGUCUCACGAAAUUGAUGGAGUAGUACACCUGUAAAAGGCACUCUAAGGCUCAAGCUAGGAAAGUAGAAGCAUCGUAGCAGGGUUUUAAUAAAGGAAUUCAGUCAUUCCUGUUGUGAAGAAAUCAUGUCGUAUUUGUACAUUUCUUACCUUCUCCUAUCAGGACAUGGAAGUGUAACUCAUACGACACCAUAAUUGUCAUGAAUCCUGAGUUUGUAAUGAAGAAAAGAAAGGAAUCUCUUAUUUUUGGUCCUUGUUUCCUUGUUGGACUUAGUUCCAGAACUAAUUAGAGAUAGUUAUUGGCUUUCCUUUACUGGAUAGUUUUGGGUCUCAAGGGUGUUCACUUGGGGAAAAACAAACUCUGUUGGCCUACCCAGCGUCCUAUACGGUUAGGAUCUUAUUGAUAUUGCUACGUCAAUUUUUCUCUUUUUAGGUGUUCGUGCCAGUAGCACUCGUCAACUUUAGACUGGCCGGCUUUUGCACCCCUAUACUUGUUCUACUGUUCUCUACUUCUGAUUGGGGGAGAGGGAAAAUUUAGUUCAACUCCUUUCCGUAUGCUGACAGUUGGCACUGAUAGCCAAACAUCUCAGAGUCUGACUGUUUAUGCUGUGGACUCUUGUAACAACGGGGCAUAAGUCUUAAUUUCUUGAGGAGGACUGUUCAUUCAAGGAUCUAGAUGAGUUCAGAAAUUAGUCAGCAUCUCUCCGUUUGCCACCUUCAUGGUGAAUACGGAAGUAAGGUGCUUCGUUGCCAAGAAUUCCCAGUUUACUAAGGUAUGAACAACUUGCAUGGCUUUGUAAGUUAGGGAUAGGUCCGGGCGGCAUAUGCUUAACCUUGAGCAGGGCUGGUCCUGACAGAGUGGAUAUACAUGACACUGUUAGUGAGAGAUGAUUGGUUGAUGCUUUAGGCAUCCUGCAUAGAUGUUUAUUCUCAAAUCGAAGGGGAGACGGAGAUGGAGAUGCCGGAGAUGAAUGUGAGGCCUCGACGAUAAGCUAAGUAUACCUUUGUAUCCUCUCAAAUGUUAUUCCAUUCUCUUCUUAGGUUUUGCUCUUCCCUGUAGCUCGCCCCCCUUUCAAUGGGCUCCUUUUGCUUCUCCAAUCUUGCCCAGAGCAAUUUGUUCUCACAUGAUGCUCCUGGGGUAGGGUGAUUGGUUGGGGCCAAAUAAACUCCUUUUCCAGGUGGCCUCCAAUAGCUGCUAUUGCCACGUUACUUUGCCUAAUUUUUACUGUUCGUGCCAGCAGAAAUUGUCCACAUGUUUGCUUUGUCCAGGCUUAAUUUUACAUUCCAACAUUUACACCCCCAUCCACGCGUUCAGCAAGAUUGAAACAUAGCCAUUUUUUGUUUAAUUCCUGGGCUGCAUCAUUUGUCUUUUAAGAUCUGCUGUGUUUUCCUUAGCCAAAUCUUCAACCAAGCAUGAUCUGGUAUUGGCUGUUUUGCCAAUAAAGUUUAUCUGUAAUAAUAUACAUAAGAGCUAAAUGUUGUCACGGUAGGAGCAUAGAGUGCAUGUUAUGUUGAUCUCUUUUUAUUUACAUUACUAUGUAGAUGUGAAAAUGUUUGAUGUUAUAUUCGGAUUGGCGGUGUA